rnacentral:rRNA from 1 species
GCCGCGGUACUCUGACCGUGCAAAGGUAGAAUAAAAAUUUGCCUUAUAAUUGAAGGCUGGAAUGAAUGGUUUGACAAGAAUACAGCUGUCUCUUUUUGAUUAUUUAGAAUUUUAUUUUUGGAUGAAAAAGUCCAAAUAUUAUUAAAAGACAAGAAGACCCUAUCGAGCUUUAGAAGAAUUAAUAGGCUUAAUAGUAAAUCAAUAUAAGUAAAAGAUAGACUAUUAAAUACUUUGGUUGGGGCAACCGAGGAGUAAACAGAGCCUCCUUUAAGCUAUAAAACCUGCUUGUGUUGAUCCAAGGAUUUUGAUCAAAGGAAUUAGUUGCCGUAGGGAUAACAGCAUUAUCUUUUUCAAGAGCCCAUAUCGAAAAAA